UUUCCGUAGGUGAACCUGCGGAAGGAUCAUUAAAGUAUAUUGAAUUCAUAUUCAUAUCAACCCACUCUGUGUACCUUCUUACUGUUGCUUCCAUGGGACUUGGUUAUGCCACGUCGGCCUUCGGGCUGGUGAGCGCCCAUGGGAGGAAAUCAAAAACUCUUUUUUAUACGUGACGUCUGUCUGAACUGUUUAUUAUAAACGUUAAAACUUUCAACAACGGAUCUCUUGGUUCUC
rnacentral:misc_RNA from 1 species